CCCGGUCGUCGCGGGCGCCGGCCGCCGCCUGUUCGAGCCGGGCGACCCGAUGACGCGGCUCGAGCUGCGCCGCUCGGAGACCACGAGCCGGGGC
rnacentral:tRNA from 1 species